CUGAAGCGGUUGCCGUCGACCAAGUCUUCUGGGCAGAUGUGGAGGCGUAUCACUCAUCCGCCUUCCUCCGAGGUGGACGCGUCUGGGGAUAGUCCUUCGCAGGCCAGUGGGAAUGAGGCUGCUGGUUGCAUCUCCAGUGCUCCCCUGCCGGUUGGCGUCCGCCCCAAGAGAAAGCAGGCUAGGAAGCGACGUUCCAGAGCGAAACCUUCUGGUGCCCCACCCCCUUCUUCCUCGGAUCGUCCAGUCUGCAUGGCGGCCACCGCUGCUUUGGUAACCCCGGUGCACCACGUUCCUCCGUGUAUCCUGGGAUGGAGCCACCAAAUGACGAGAGCAGAGGAUGAUCUUCAAUACGCGGUAAUGGUGACUGUGAUCAGCGAUCGGUCUUCGGUCCGGGUUUCGGAGAUUGCUGAGCUGCUUGCCCCAAGGAUGGAAAUGGAAGCUAUUUCUCUGGUGUUGCGGAGGGUUUCAGCGGCAAAUUAUAUUCUUGUCCUCCCAUGUCGUGACAAGGUUGAGGAGUUGGCUGGCAGAUGGGCUACUCUCAGAGCUGGGUCUUUUUCUGUGGUUUGUAAGAAAUGGUCUCGUCUCAUGGAGUCCAGGGGCGCCUUACUCCCGGUGUUGAUCAAUAUUGAGCUCCAGGGAAUUCCUAUACAUGCUUGGGAGACAUGCACCGUGGAUCAUUUGCUAAACCCUUUUGCGUGGAUUCACCAAGUCCACCCUGAUACUCUGAACCUGAAGGAUGUGGCCGUUUUCCGCUGCUCCGCGUGGUGUUUGGACCCCUCUGCUAUUCCUUCUUCUAAAGAGCUUUGGAUUGUAGAACCUCCUUUUGCUGUUGAGGGUGAUCCUGCAGGAAAACGAGUGCUGGUUUACUCUGUGAAUAUUGCGGUUUCGAUCACUCUCCGGCAGGAUGGCUCCGGUCCAGUUCUUUGUUCUGAGGAUCUUGAUGAUGAGGAUCCCUCUCCUCGUAGAAGGCGUCUCAUCUCGCCUUCCCAUGAGUUUGUUCAGGGGCAUCAUGCUAGGGGUCAGAGAUCGGAGCGUCGUUCAGUUCACGACCGGAUAGGCCCAAGAGUAGGAAAUGGGAAUCAAACGUAUGAUUGUUCUCAGGUCUUAGUCGUUGAGGCUGAGCUGGUGGAAUUCAGCAACAUGGAGACCAGAGAAGUUGAUGUCCAGAUUCAAAAUCAUAGUCCUGUGGCUUCUUCCCGCGCUGUCUCUGACCCGCUGGUAUCAACAGUGGUCCAGCAACAAGUUACGGUCUGUAGCAGGUCUGCCGAGUGCUCCAGCUUGCAAGGGGGUGGACAGUUUUCUGUUCAUGAGUGCCCUGGCAGUGGGCAGAUGAUUGGGUGUCCUGAGAAUUUCUGUCAGAUUGGAAGUCAGCAGGGGGGUGGGCAGAUUUCUGUGCUUAAAUGUCCUGGCAAUGGGCAGAUGAACGGAUGUCAUGAGGAUCACAAUCAGAUUGGAAGUCAGCAGGAUUUUGUUUUGGCUGGAAAUAUGGGCUCUGUGGCUGCAUGCGAGGUGUUGCCUCCCAGGGAGUCUCCUGUGGCUGCCACCUCCCCUCCUUUGCUCUUCCGCCCAAAACCUAUUCAAGUAUACUUUCGGUGA
rnacentral:misc_RNA from 1 species